rnacentral:rRNA from 1 species
UACGGAGGGUGCGAGCGUUGUCCGGAAUCAUUGGGCGUAAAGGGCGCGUAGGUGGCGGGACAAGCGUGCGGUGAAAGCCUGGGGCUCAACCCCGGGUCGGCCGUGCGAACUGUUUUGCUUGGGCACUGUAGAGGCAGGCGGAAUUCCGGGUGUAGCGGUGGAAUGCGUAGAGAUCCGGAAGAACACCGGUGGCGAAGGCGGCCUGCUGGGCAGUAGCUGACACUGAGGCGCGACAGCGUGGGGAGCAAACAGG